GAUGAACGCACAAGACGUGCCUAACACAUGCAAAUCGAAUGAAAACAAUACUUAAUUAAGUAUUGUUUUCAUGGUGAACGGGUGAGUAACACAUAAGAAUCAGCUUUUAGAUAAGGCAUAAAAGAGUAAUAUCUUGGUAAUUCCUUAUAUGCGCAGCAGUGCUUAAAAAGGGGAGUCCCGUCUAAAAACGAGCUUAUGCCUGAUUAGCUAGUUGGCGAGUUAAAAGCUCACCAAGGCGAAGAUCAGUAGCUGGCCUGAGAGGGCGGCCAGCCACAUUGGG
rnacentral:rRNA from 1 species